rnacentral:rRNA from 1 species
AACGAACGCUGGCGGCGUGGAUAAGACAUGCAAGUCGAACGGGACAGACCGAGUAGCAAUAUUUGGAAUGUUCAGUGGCGAACGGGCGCGUAACACGUGGAUAACAUUCCGGAAAGCGGGGAAUAGCCCAGGAAAACUUGGAUUAAUACCGCAUGUGGCCGCAAGGCUAAAGACGGGGACCGCAAGGCCUGUCACUUUCCGAUUGGUCCGCGGCCUAUCAGCUAGUUGGCGGGGUAAUGGCCCACCAAGGCUACGACGGGUAGCUGGUCUUAGAGGAGGACCAGCAACACUGGAGCUAAGACACGGUCCAGACACCUACGGGUGGCAGCAGGCGAGAAUCUUUCACAGUGGGGGCAACCCUGAUGGAGCGAAGCCGCGUGGAGGAUAAGGUCUUCGGAUUGUAAACUCCUGUCAUGCGAGAACAAGGUACUCAGGCUAAUAACCUGAUUGUUUGAUGGUACCGCAAGAGGAAGAGACGGCUAACUCUGUGCCAGCCGCCGCGGUAACAC